rnacentral:rRNA from 1 species
AGUAAUGUCUGGGAAACUGCCUGAUGGAGGGGGAUAACUACUGGAAACGGUAGCUAAUACCGCAUAACGUCGCAAGACCAAAGAGGGGGACCUUCGGGCCUCUUGCCAUCAGAUGUGCCCAGAUGGGAUUAGCUAGUAGGUGGGGUAACGGCUCACCUAGGCGACGAUCCCUAGCUGGUCUGAGAGGAUGACCAGCCACACUGGAACUGAGACACGGUCCAGACUCCUACGGGAGGCAGCAGUGGGGAAUAUUGCACAAUGGGCGCAAGCCUGAUGCAGCCAUGCCGCGUGUAUGAAGAAGGCCUUCGGGUUGUAAAGUACUUUCAGCGGGGAGGAAGGUGUUGUGGUUAAUAACCGCAGCAAUUGACGUUACCCGCAGAAGAAGCACCGGCUAACUCCGUGCCAGCAGCCGCGGUAAUACGGAGGGUGCAAGCGUUAAUCGGAAUUACUGGGCGUAAAGCGCACGCAGGCGGUCUGUCAAGUCGGAUGUGAAAUCCCCG